GCGCGCCUCCCCCUGCGCCUGCGCCGACCGGCCGGCGAGCGCGCGCCCCCUGAGGGGUAGACGGGAUAGAGCGCCCGGUGCUGCGCGCCGCCGCUUCCGUCCCUCCGCGCGAGCAGCGGCGGAAGCGCCAGGCCCGGGGGACGGGGUUAGCAGUGAAAAAGGGCCAAUGGCGAUCCCCGCCGCCGGCGCCUCCACCGGAGGGAGGGGGCAGUGAUGGCAGCCCAGGCGCACCGCCCCCUUCCCGGUGCCCGGCUGUGCGCGGCAGCGCCCCCUGCCGGUGUGGCGGGGCGGGAGGCGAGCCGAGCCGAGUUGGCCCCGGGGAGCGGCGGAGUUCACUUCGGGGUGCGGGACCUGGCCGCGGGGGAACCCUCCCGCCGUCCCGGGGCGGCGGCGGCGCGGGUCCCUCUCUCUCUGGGUUGGCCGUGCCUGCACAGCCCCCCCCGCAUCCCGAGGAACCCCCUUGCCCAACGGCGCGGGGGAUGCGCGGCAGCCCUGCCCCCGCCACCGCCCCGGCCCCGCGAGGCUCCGCCGGCCGGCAGAGAGGCCGCCGCGGCGCCGGGCGGCUCCCCGAGGCGGCCUCCCCGUGGCUUCCCCUUCGAGGGAGGUGAUUCUGCCCCUCUGCUCCGCUCUGGUGAGACCCCACCUGGAGUGCUGCACCCAGCCUUGGUGCCCUCAGCACAGGAGAGACGUGGACCUGUUGGAGCGGGUCCAGAGGAGGCCACAAGAAUGAUCCGAGGGCUGGAGCGCCUCUCCUACGAGGACAGGCUGAGAGAGUUGGGGUUGUUCAUCCUGGAGAAGAGAAGGCUGCGGGGAGACCUUAUUGCAGCUUUUCAGUACUUAAAGGCAGACUAUAGGAAAGAUGGGGCAACCUCUUUAGCAAGGCCUGUUGUGACAGGACAAGGGAUAACGGUUUUAAACUAAGAGAGGGUAGACUAGACUGGAUAUAAGGAAAAAAUUUUUGCAAUGAGGGUGGUAAAACACUGGCACAGGUUGCCCAGAGAGGUGGCAGCUGCCCCAUCCCUGGAAACAUUCCAGGUCAGGUUGGACGGGGCUCUGAGCAACCUGGGGUAGCUGAAGAUGUCCCUGCUCACUGCAGGGGGGUUGGGCUAGAUGACCUUUAAAGGUCCCUUCCAACCCAAACCAUUCCAUGAUUCCCUAUGAUAUGGGUGCAGGACAAGGCCCUCCCCACAUGGCCCACCACUGGCACAGGGGCUGUGAGCAGCGGCCACAGAACGAGCCGUUCUGUGGUGUGGGCCCUGCCACACGGAGGUGACUGCCAUCACUUCCCACCCUCAGCACCUCCCACAGCAGCACCAUGUAAUGUGCAACAAGAAACAGCCUGGAGAACAACUCCGCACAUUUGUCUUGCAAGCGACAAUGGGCAAGAGCUCACUCACCUCUUAAGCCAGAGCUGUCGUUCCAUGUGCCUCUCUCUGGGCUCUGUUUUCCUGGAUUCUGUGGUGUUUCCCUGCGUAAAUCUAUGCUGUCACUGCAGCACACUAACAGUUGCCUCCAAGCUACUUUGGCUUCUGCAGGGAGUCUUGCAUCCCUGGUGGAGUAAAGGGCCUAUGCAGAAUGCCAUCAUCUCCUGCUAGGCCCUUUUGACUACCUGAUCUGACUUAAAUCCUGCUGAGGUGGCAGUUCAGUACUUCGUACUUAGAGCCAUCCUCUCAUUUUUAAUUUAUCCUUCCCUUUUUCCAUUUCACCUUCCUUCACAAGUCUUCCAAUUUUUCCAGACUGCUGUUGCCAGCUGCUGUCCUUCCCUUAAGCACUUCAUCCUUUCUGACCCUUAAGAUAGCUAUGUUCUGAACUUAAAGCAGAGAUUCGUCUUUCUUGCUAUUUGAAAUACACAGUAUAUCCUUUUGCUGCUAACUCAAGUUUCAGAAAACCACUGAUAUGUUAGCUUAUAGUUAAAAUAACAGACAAAAGGAUCUUCCCAGAAAUGUACCAUUAUGAAGUUUUUGCAACCAUAAAUGAUAUUAAUGAUGAAACCACACAGAUUGAUCACGUUUCUCAGUUCAUUGAAACUCCUCAAAAUAGGUUAUACUGAAGAAAUAAUUAACUUUUAAAAUAUUAUAUCUAGUUAUUAUGAUUUUAUAGACUUAGGUAAGGCCAACUUAGCAUCAUAGGUCACUUAAUUGGAGCUAUUGUCACAUCAGUAAAAUGAAUUUAAAGUAAAACGAAUGUAACCUUUCCUCCACAGCUAAAUUGCAUAGUGCAAUUCUAUCAGUUACACAGAGCCAUUUGUCGAAGAGGUUUUUAAAUCACUUAUUAGCAGAUGAUUGGGUUCAAACGCCUUUGCUUCUUACAGGUUCCGUGAUUAUAUGCCAGUUUGGGCACUGCAGUUUGAAAGUUUAAUAUAUCCUGCGCACUCUUGACAUUAAUGGGGAUCACUUGGCUGCAACGGUUUGUACAAGACAUAGAAUACUACAGGGAGGAGGUUCCCUGGUAUGGACUACUCCCACAUGUCCAAAUGCCAAACAAUUCCAAAGAUCUCUCUUCCCCCUGAUCGGCCCCUUGCAAACCUCCAGGCCAAGAAGGGAUCUGCUGUUCAGAACAUCACCUGUUCCUAACAGGCCAGGCUUCGCAUCUACUGAGAUAAAAAAUAUAAAUCUUUUCAGUGGAUUCUCAAUGAGGAUUUGUUUUGUUUGGCUGGAGAAUAUGCUGUUUGCUACAGGGUGAACUGAGGAAAAUAGUACACCUCCAUGUUUGUAAGGUAUAUUAACUUCUCCGUAUUUGCACUAUUCAGUGCAACUGACCCAAACAAUGAAACUAUAUUUCUAUUUUUAGUUCUAUUGGUUUGGAAAGAUCUGAAUCACAGAAUUUCCCAGAGCUUGUAUUAGAUAGGCAAUGAAGAUGGUUUAUGGCAAAAUACCCACCAAAAUGAUCAUUAGUGAUACACUUUUGAUAUAGUAGUUUCAGCUUUUGGUACAUAAAACACUUGAUUUAACUGCCUUGAAUUAUGAUUUAAACAGAGCAAGAAGAUGGACUUUUCUUGGCUUUUAUUCUCUCUUUUUAAUAUCUCUUAGAAUUCAGAGAUCUGAAUAAUUAAGAGUUAAGCUAUUCUCCCCAUGGUGCCUAAUUUUACUGUAUUUUGUUUUCUGUGAAGCAACUAUUAGAUGACAUAUAUUGAUAUCAAAGCAGUCAUCCUUUUAAGAGAUCAAAGUCAGAGAAGAUGAGCGUCGUCAUAGGAAGGCCAAGUCUAAUGACCCAGAUGGCAGGAAGCACAAGGGUAUUUUGCUGCCCAUAACAACUCGUAGAAUCAGAGCCAAAUUAUACAUCAAUAAAACAUUUUUUUUUAGAAAAAUAAUACUUUUGCAACUUGUUAUGUGACCAGAAGUAUGUAUGCUCAUUGCUACUAAAAAAAAGAAACAUUUUAUUCAUUUAAGGGAAAUGCCAGUUAAAACACUGCUGAGGUUUCAGUGUCUUUUAUCAGCUGUGAAAUUACUAUCGGUUUCUAAAAACAAGUUGUUACACGUGCUGAGACUCUUUUCUAAAAAUAAACAUAACUCAUACAUGUAUGCAGGGUCUAGUCUUCAUGAAGUGUCAUGGAAGUGCCAUGUCUAGGGUCUGCCUGCUUUUGAUGAGCCUCUGAGUCCUUACUACAGUCAGUGGGUCUCGUGUACUACCUUAUUUGCACUACAGUAAGUUAUAUGCUCAGAUUUUUUGGUUUUUUCUUAAAGCACCUUCAAAUAAUUUUCAACCUUAUAAAGUAUGUAUUUGGGUCCACUUUCCAUCUUGCAGCUGGUUCCCCAAGUUUAGAAAAAUGGCCCUGAGGUUAUUUGUCAUUGCCUUUCUGAAUUCUUCCACACGCAUAAUGCUGUGGAGCAGGUUUUACAACCUCUGUCAGUAAACUCCUCUACUUGCAGCUCAUCAGGAGUUAUGGGAACUUGUUCUGUCCUGAUUCUUUAGCGGAAAGACAAGUGGAUUAAGGCUAGAAAUGAAUGGGAGAAGUUUAUAAAAACUGCUGUCUCAGACUUUAGAGCUAUUUUAUUGUUACUGCCUGAGGUUUUAAAAAAAGCAGACACCUUUGGAGGUAGAGUGCUUUAUUCCCAGGCAGAAGAAUAUUUUGAGAAUGUUGUUUACACUUACAAAUGAAAGAAGCCCCUGUUCUGCUUUUCUAAGAGCAUCCUUAUUUCUUUUGUUUAGGAGCAACAUUUUGAUGCAAAUAUAGCCACUUUACAGAUGUUUUUACCCAUACUUUUGUCAAUUUCUCUGUGUGUUCUGUGUGUUACAGUUUGCAACCUCUUUCCAACCUUGAUGUUUACAU